rnacentral:rRNA from 1 species
ACGCGAGCUGGGUUUAGAACGUCGUGAGACAGUUCGGUCCCUAUCCGCUGCGUGCGUAGGAAAUUUGAGAAGGGCUGUCCUUAGUACGAGAGGACCGGGACGGACGAACCUCUGGUGUGCCAGUUGUACCGCCCGUUGCAUAGCCCAGUAGCUAAGUUUGGAAGGGAUAACCGCUGAAAGCAUCUAAGCGGGAAGCCUGCCUCAAAACUAGUUCUCCCUUGAGAGCCGUGGAAGACGACCACGUUGAUAGGCUGGGUGUGGAAGUGCGGCAACGCAUGAAGCUUACCAGUACUAAUCGCUCGAUUGGCUUGAAUCUG